ACAAAACAAAGUAUUCUUUAUAUUAGAUUUGUGGGAAGAUUUUCCCGUUAACGGCGGUUUCGAAGACCGGCGCCGCCCUUUGCCGCAGCCGUGGCCCACUACUCCGCCCUGCCUCAGCCCCAGGCCACCCCGGUGUAGAGCACACUGACUGUUCAUCAACAAGUAAAUGACACAACAGCAAAUCGGGCAAAACAUUUCAAACCAUUAAUCCGACCACAGAGCAGACUAUCGCUGAAGCUGGACUGGAAACUGGGACCCACACUGGCUACCGUCAACACCAUCGUCCUAAAGCCAGCCGAGCAGUCAAUGUGUCGCCGACAAAGACGUGCCAUACAUCCCACCAGCUACGACCGCUUCCUGGGCGAACUCGCAGAGGCCUCCCAACAUUGUCGUGCAUGCCAUGAUGGCGAGGCGUCUGUUCUUCUCGACAUAUGUCGGUAGGCCAUCAUUCGAGCCCGAGUCGAUGGCAAUGAGCGUCUGGAGUUAGGAGGAGUCACAUCGGUGGCCCUGGACCAGCAGUCCCAUAUGAUCUAGUAUGCCCCUGGCAAGCGAAUCGAUGGCAUGAACAAGUAAACAAGAAUAUGGGGAUCCAAUGGACACAUGUGUAAUCCCCUGAUCCCUCUCUACGGGAAAACCCUUGUUUCCAUGCAUAUCUCGUUGCCAAAGUUUCUCUUUGAUGAUGACGACCAGUAUGAUGUCACUUAUUUUUUGGGCUCAAAGAUUAUCUUCAUACUCCGGUUGACAAGCAACAAGUCUUCAAAUACCAGCAACAUUGACGCGACAACUUUGCGACUGUUUCUUUGUUGAGCUCUUUUGCUUAAACUAUAUUUUGGGCAAAAUACAAUAAAUGGAAGUACUUAAAAGUA